CCUACGGGAGUCUGCAGUGAGGAAUAUUGGUCAAUGGGCGCGAGCCUGAACCAGCCAAGUAGCGUGAAGGAUGACUGCCCUACGGGUUGUAAACUUCUUUUAUACAGGAAUAAAGUGAGGCACGUGUGCCUGUUUGUAAGUACUUUAUGAAUAAGGAUCGGCUAACUCCGUGCCAGCAGCCGCGGUAAUACGGAGGAUCCGAGCGUUAUCCGGAUUUAUUGGGUUUAAAGGGGGCGUAGAUGGGUUGUUAAGUCAGUGGUGAAAGUUUGCGGCUCAACCGUAAAAUUGCAAUUGAUAUGGGCAGCCUUGAGUACAGUUGAGGUAGGCGGAAGUCGUGGGGUAGCGGUGAAAGGCUUAGAU
rnacentral:rRNA from 1 species